ensembl:snoRNA
AGAUCACUGCAAAGGGGGGUCAUGGGGCUGUGAAACCAGGAGCUCUACCACUGAUCAAAGAAUGAAGUUGUCCACAGGACGUCACAGUCAUUCGACAGUGCCAUCUUUCUGAGGAGACGUGAUG